rnacentral:rRNA from 1 species
UAGCGUAUUCGUUUGACGUUAGCGACAGAAGAAAGCACCGGCUAACUCCGUGCCAGCAGCCGCGGUAAUACGGAGGGUGCGAGCGUUAAUCGGAAUUACUGGGCGUAAAGCGCAUGCAGGUGGUUUGUUAAGUCAGAUGUGAAAGACCCGGGGCGUCAACCUCGGAAUAGCAUUUGAAACUAGGCAGACUAGAGUACUGUAGAGGGGGGUAGGAAUUUCAGGUGUAGCGGUGAAAAUGCGUAGAGAUCUGAAGGAAUACCGGUGGCGAAGGCGGCCCCCUCGGACAGAUACUGACACUCAGAUGCGAAAGCGUGGGGAGCAAACAGGAUUAGAUACCCUGGUAG